AAAGUCGUAACAAGGUAACCGUAGGUGAACCUGCGGUUGGAUCAUUAAAAAAACUGAAGUUUAGUACUUCUCCCUGCUCUUUUUUGAGAGUAGGUCAACCCCUGUGAAAUGAAAUUGUACCUGGUAGGAACUUUUUACUAGUUUACUAGUGUGCUACUGUAUUACUACUGUAUUAGUUUACUACUGUGCUAGUUAAAAAGUUAACCUACCACAUUUUUUAAACUAAACUUUAAUACUGACUGAAUAAAAAUGACCCAAUGAGAAACAACUUUUGACAACGGAUCUCUUGGCUCUC
rnacentral:misc_RNA from 1 species